CACUUUUCUCUCAUCAGGACUGCUUUCAGAGGGGAGGAAGCUUGUCUGGGGCUCGGGAGGGGCACCGCAGACCGGAGGUUUGCACCCCGACCCCCUCUGCGGUGUUGAAUCUUCACCCCCCCAGAGAAGCCAGGCCCAGCGACUGCUUUCUCUCCCGGGUGUGGACGAGAAGGAAGAUGCCUGCGAGGACGCCGUUUCUGCACCGGGGAGCGGCCUUCACCGGGACCCCCACACUGGGCCUUAGCCCUGAGUCUCUAGCUGCCACGAGUGUCUGAGAGUGUUGCUGUGUACGGAUCUGCCUGCUGGACUGGCCGGAGCUCUCCUCCGUUCUCCCUGGGCUACCCUGCUGACUGGGCUGUUCCAAAUGGAAUCUGCCCCAAACCAGAUCUACUGUUCCUGUGUCGCAGACCUUCCGUUCUUAGGAAAUGGCAAAAACCCGUCUGCCGUUGCUCAGAGACCUAGGUUUUCAGAUAAUCCUAAAAAUGUCGGGAUGGAAGUCGUGUGCUUGGCUUCUCUGAGGGAGCAGGGAUGUGAGCAGUAAACUGCAGGCAGCAGUAACCGACCCUCCAAGAUAGUGCUCAUGUUGCACUUUGACUCUCAGAAAUGCUGAAUGCCUCCGAGGGACGAAAACCUAACACAUGGGCACACAGCAGAAGGCGGAGGAUCUCGGCAUUAACCCAGAGCAGGAUGGGUCUUGACAAUGAACCCCUCCCGGUGCCGGGAUAUGAAAAUGGACUUAUCUCCACUGAUCAAGGGAAGUAUCCGUCCAAACUACAGUGAGCUCCAUCACCUCAUGCCGUUAAGAAAAUACAAGAUCACAAAUGUUGGUGAGGAGAUAGAGAAAAAGGGACACUCAUGCACUGUUGGGGGGGGCGUGUAAAUUGGUGCAGCCACUGUGAAGAACAGUAUAGAGGUUCCUCAAAAAGUCAGAACUACCAGGUGAUCUAGCCCACCACUUCUGGGUAUUUACUCAGGUGAAAUGAAAUCGGGAUUUUGGAAUUCACCCUCAAGUUCAAAUGAACUAUUCCUAAUAGCUUAAAUCAGGAAACCACUUCAGUGCCUGUUGACAGAUGGAUACAGAAAUUGUGGUAGAGUGAAAAGCUCAGCUGUGAAAAAGGAGACCCUGUCACUUGCAGCACCGUGGAUGAAUGUGGAGGACAUGCUAAGUGGAAUAAGCCGGACCCAGAAGAAAAACCUCUCCCAUGGAAUCUAAAAAGUUGAACAUGUAGAAGCCGACAGUAGGUGGUGGGGAAAUGGGCGCAAGGUGGCAGCUCUGUGGAAUGACGGAGUCCUGGGAGCUCCUAAACUGCACAAGGAUGGCGGUUGGCAAUUCUGUACUGAAUACUGGCUGUGCGAAGAGUAGGUUUUAGGUGUGCCCAUCACGGUGGUAACUAUGUGAGGAGAGGUGUUCAUCAGCUUGACAGUCGUGAUCAUGUCAAUCUACGUAUCGGGUCACCACACUGUACACCUUAAAUAUAUUUGUAUUAAAAUAAGCAGUUGACCUACCCCUUCAAUGAAAACUCCAGAAGGGCAUGACAGUCAUGAACUUCAUCUUCCCUCAUUGAUAUAAGUGAAUCCCAAGGCCCUGGGGGAGGAGGAAAAAUGAGCUGUAGAAAAUUUCAUGCAGUGUAUACUUACAGAAAACUACAUACACAUGUAUAUAUAAGCACAUACGCAUGAACUCGUGUGUGUAUCUGAAUGUCAUGCAUAAAUGUAUGUAGAUAUACAGAAAACUUAAAAAAAAAAAAAAAAAAAAAACCUUAACCUAUUAAUAGGAAUGCAUACAUAGGUAGUAAAACUCUAAGGGAAAACACAGGAAUCAUUUGACCCAAAAUUCAUAAUGGUGCACCUUGACUCUGAGGAAGGUCAUGAUAGAAAUGAGUUAACAAGGAGUUUCAGAGGUGUGCUUUUAAAAAUUUUUUAAAUAUUUUUGAGAGACAGUGUGUGUGGGGCAGGGGCAGAGAGAAAGACACAGAAUCUGAAGAGGCUCCGGGGUCUGAGCUGCCAGCACAGAGUCUGACACAGGGCUUAAACUCUCAAACUGUGAGAUCAUGUCCUGAGCCAAAGUCAGACACUUAACCAACUGAGCCACCCAGGUGUCCCUCAGAGGUGUACUUCUAAUUCUAUUCCUUAAACAGCAUGGUGGGGGGAAAAGGUGUUUGCUGUACCUUCUACGUAUGAAAUCAAGAAUCAAUUUGACAUGUGUAUCCAGUGAUGCUGUUUCAUCAAGACCAACUUUUUUCCUGUGUCCUACACGCUUGCCAAGAAUAAUUCUAACAUAAAGGGAGAGUGGAGGAGGAGCAGAGAGAGCGGGGGAGACAGAAUCCGAAGCAGGCUCCGAGCGGUCAGCACAGAGCCCUUUGCGGGACUUGAACUCGUGAACUGCGAGAUCAUGACUGAAUCUGGAGUUGGACACUUCAACUGACUGAGCCACCCCGGUGCCUGUAAAACUUUGGUGUGUCUUAAAUUGAUUUUGGGGUUUAAUUAUCACUGUUGUCUUAACUUCCUGCUAACUUAAAGCCUUUUGCUUUUUAAACCCUAAGGACCUAGGCACAUCAAUUUUUUUUAAAUGGCUAAAAAAAAAAAAAACCUAAAGACAUAUAUGACCUAAAUUACAGUGGUUUAUGGAACAUCAAAAACCUUCUGUGUUUCAAAACAUAGAAAAUUCUAUCUUAAAAGAUAAAAUGAGUCUAAUAAAAAUCAAGAAAUAGAUGAAUGGUCAUGAACGAGCCUUCGGGAGAUUUGCCAUAACAAGUAUUGCCCAACAUUUAAGUGUCAUCAAAGAUGACAAAAGUAAGACCUAGAGAAGCCUCCAGAACAAGCCAGGAACAGUGGAGCCCGGAGCUGAAGCUGGUCUCAUUCCACAAGAUGCCUGCUGAGUAGUGACCCUUUCCUGACGAUAAUCAGAGGUUGCUUGCAGCUCCAAGUGUCUUCUCAAAUAACCAUGAUGCUUGUAUCUUAUUUGGGAGAUUCUUUCAGAUGAAGGAAGGACCCGUAGUAAUCCAAAAUAGAGGUCAUCUUGUAUUGUUCUUCACACAUUUCCAAUGACUAAUUCUCAUUGGACCAAUGACCAAUUCUGACAACAGCACCUUAGGACACGGGUGAGGGAUGAAAGAUGAACUUCUUGGACUAUUGGCCUGCUCUUAAGAUUGUGAAUGUUUCCUUGUUAAAAACAAGAUGGCAGACCCAAAGUGAAGUACCUUAUGCUGAACUCCAUGUCACCAAAUCAAGACUAAAGUUGUACCUUUUCCAGAAAUGGAAUCUUAAACCUCUCAACCAGCCAUGCUGGUAUCAGAAGAGGACACCAAAGGAGUCUCCCCAUGGCCCCUAGGAGUGGCAAGCAGCCAGGCAAAGGUACCCAUUGAGCCCCUUGAGCUAAGUGCUUUCUCACCACCUCUGGAGGUCACGGGGUGGAUCCACUGUGAAGCCUGAGGUGAAUGAAAUUUUGCUUUAAGGUGAACAAGCAGGUCAACGUUAUGAAAGAUCUUGAUUUAGAGUGGCCACGGAGGAGAAUGUUCAGCCUGGAUAAGCUUACUCCCUAUUUGAGGAUGAGACCCACUUGGACAUACCACUCACUCCUGAUGGCAUUGUGGGGAAAAAUGGCAGAAGCCAGCAAAAAGUGACCAUUGUUACUCAAGCCAGCUCUCCUGGAUCUCUGUGGUGGUGCUGCCGGGCCACCAGAGGAAGGAGGAAAGAUAAGACAGCUGGCUUUUAAUGUGACACUUUCGUGACCAACCUAAACCUAAUUGUGAACGAGUAAAUUACAUAGCUGAAAGGUGGAAAUUCACAAGCAAACUUUGAAGUUAAACUUUGUGAGGAGCAAAGUCUAUCUGGGUGUGUAAGCCCCGAGAGUUGUGCACACUCCGUUCUUGUAACGUGAGUGCCUGCCUUCAGACACGGAAAUGAUGGUGCUCUCCAGUCACCACGCUGCAGCCACAUGACUCAAUGAGCCAGGCUCCCCGCCACAGCGAGGCUUCUCUAUUUGGAGAUCUUGGUUGAUGGAGACUCCUGGAAAGGACCCUGACAAGGACAGGUUUCUGAAAACUCUCAGAUCAUACCACUGAGUGGAUAAGGGAUUGCAGAACCCCAGUGGAGAAACUGAGGGCUUUGUACAAUUGCCAACAAAAGACUAUAGAAACCAUUUUUCUCUCAAGCUGUCAACAGUUGGGUGAAGUCUACCUAUGUGAACAAAGACAGAACAUUUAUCUUUUUCUUUCCUGAUCUCUCCAGAACGCAGAAGCUUAGUAUUUUCACGGUGAUACAGCUAUUUGCAAAAGUACAAUAAGAGUAUGUCCUCUAACAGGACACAAAUGGAAACAUCGGUUAUGUGGGCAAGACUUUGACCAGGAUGUCCGGUUUGAGAAAGCAUACAUACUCCAGUGACCCAACAGUUUUAAGGAACUAAGUUGAAUUUUGGAGCCAAUAAUACCCCUUGGAAAAAUCAGCCUGGUACAUUGCUUACAGGGUUCCCAGCAGCGUGACAAAGUAAAUAAGGAAGGUCAUGUCCAGGCAGGCUCAGGAAACUCUGGAUAUUUGGGGUACUUUGAAGAAAACCCAAGUCUAUAGCUGUUGCAGGCAAAGUCUGAUGGUGAGUCUCCUUGGAUCGGCUCCCUCCCCUUGAGACUUAAAAAUUCCAAUCUGACAUUCCUUAAAAAUCCAGCAAAGCAGAUUUAAGAGCAGCUAUAUAUGGUCAACCACUCUCUUUGCUGCAUUUAUACACAUGAUUAGGCCAUGUUUGGCUGUUCAGCAAUCCUGUUAAUUUGAUUAUCUUUGAAUAGCAUAAGUGUAAUUGUAGAAAAAUUAUUUAAUGACCUUAAGGCUUUUAAUAGUCUCUCGAGGGUACCGUUUUCUUCCUAUACAAGUUUCUCUAAUAAUUUGUAUCUAACUCUCCCCAGACUUAUAAUUUACUCCUAUGUCUUAGAGUCGCUGAGAAUAAAGAAUGCCUUUUUUCUGAAGGGGAAGACUUGAUAUGAACUUGAGCAAAACCACAUGCUUUGGCAAAAGUGAGAAUUAUGGGAAAGACCCCACCAAGAAGAACUCUUGACCACUGACAUUGCUGCCAAAAUACAAAAUAGCAAGCCUUGGAUGCGUAUUUCACAACUGGUGAAGUCUCCAUUUGACAGGCCCUGGGACUUCAGGAUGUUGGGGGGACCUUGAGAAGACAGGAAUUCACUUAAAUCUGUAUAUAUGAUGGGUGAAAUCUGAUGGUAAGUCCUUGGAUUUUUAAAAGGCUCUCAAGGAUGGGAAGCCAAGCCAAUCUGACCUCUCUUGUGAAAAGUUCCAGCAAAGGGGCGCCUGGGUGGCUUAGUCGGUUGAGCGUCCGACUUUCGGCUCAGGUCAUGAUCUCGCAGUUCGUGGGUUCGAACCCUGCGUUGGGCUCUGUGCUGACAGCUCGGGGCCUGGAGCCUGCUUCCGAUUCUGUGUCUCCCUCUCCCUCUGCCCCUCCCUGACUUGUGCUCUCUCAAAAAUAAAUGUAAAAAAAAUCUCGAGCAAAGCAGAGCUAGAAAAGCCUGUUUGGACAUUCAGUAUUCAUGCUGCACUUUGAGGCCAAAUUUACUGAGACUUUGUAAAGAAAUCAGUCUGGGUAACUGGAGGGGGAUGGUGUUUCUGUAAUACUCUUUCUGGAUAUUAGAUUCUAGUACUGUUGUGAGGUUUUGUUUUCUUACCACAAAGUAACUGGAUCCUGAAUUCCCCUAGUUUCUUCAAUAUUUGGUUCUACUUCCCCUCAAACUACCAUUUCUAUCUUCCCCAACCUUCCUCACUUGGAAUCACAAAAUACAACUGCCCUUUACCUGAAGCCCAGCAAGUCUAUAGCUAGACAACUUGAUACAAACUUGGGAGAACCCGUCCAAACUGCUCCUGUACAGAUGAUUUUUGUGGCUGCUCUGGUCAUUGGAGACCUUCAAACUACAAAGAGCAUUGUCCUUCCAUACCUGCCCCCACUCCACCUGAAGAUGGUUCAAGCCUGACCUCUAAAAUGGAUUGACUGCCUUAAAUGGGAUGCUGGAAUGGUAUGGGAUGUAUGGUUCUGAGCACGAAUCAUCGUUUUGUUUUGCUUGUGUGAUACAGGCCUACUUUGGGGAGCCCGCCUAAAUCACCACCUCUUGAGAGGAGUUGAACUGACCUCUUGUCAGGACUAAUUCAAUGAGAUGAAGCAGUCUGCCACCUCAGCUUCUGGACUAGGACUCUUCUUGGAGAAGUUUCAGUGGUGGGGCUGGGGGGGAGCUGACCACGCCACCCCAAGUGGUUCCACCAUUGACGUGUGGGUUGGUAACACCCAGUAGACUUGGGAAAAGCUAGUUACCUCUCCAUUAAUUGCCUAAAAGAAUUCAGUUAGGGGACCUUGUUCCCGGAAAUGGCUUGUUAUGUCAGGAAGACCUGUGUGUAUGACUGGACACAAAGGAUUCGCAGAUCUGUUUCUUUCCUUGAGCGUGGGUUUCCUCCUGUUGGAAGCCUCGGAACUCUUCCCCUUGGGAUAGCACAUAAGUCUGUUUCCUGGAUGCUGGGAGCCUGUUUUUGAGGCUCCUGUAUGUAUGAAAUUGGCUAUUUGAUCUCAUGCCAAUUUAAUUAGACUGGCAAAAGAAGCCGGGGGAGGGGAGAAGGGAAAACUUUCUGGCCCCUAUAUCUCCCCAAAUCGACAUGUUGAAAUCCUUCCCUCCACCCUCCAGUAAUGGUAUAGGAGCGAGGGGCUUUGGGUAAGUGAUUAUAUCAGGAAGCUGGGCCCCCAUACUGGGAUUAGAUAUGAGAGAGCCCAGAGUGUCCCCUUGCCACAUAGGAGGACACCAUGAGGAGUCCACCUAUGAACCAGGAAGGGGGCUCUCAGACACCAUAUUGGUGCCUGAUCUUGGACUUCCAGCCUCAGAAUGGAGAAAUUUCUAUCCAUAAGCCUGUGGUAUUUUGUUACAGCAACCAUGUUAACAUUUUUUAGUCUAGAUGGUGUUGGUUGAAAUAAUAGUACUUACAAAAGUGAGAUUUUGUAAAAUACUUCACAUUAUUUCAACCAUUUCAGCUCCUUUACCCAGAAUCCUAUUUGUUCUUGAUCAAAAAGGAUCUUAGAGGCUUAUCAAAAUUCUGUUUAUGUUGAAUAAAUAGUACACAGACUUGCUUUUACUCUUAUGUCCUUGAUUUUUCAAAAACAAAAACCUGAGACCAGGAAACAGGUGGUGCUCCUGUUCAUGGCUUAAAUAAGUACAGAAUGAACUCUCGAAGUGAUUGUCUAAGGAAAAGUGUUGGAAGGUACAACCAUCUUAGAUGACAGGAAGGAGAAACCAGGGCAGUGAAGACUGCUUAAAAGCCUAUAUGGAUGAUUGGAGACACACACACACACCACAGUGGAAUAUUAUGCAAAUAAUAAGAGGAGAGCCUGACACUUGAAUGACAUGGAUGGACCUAAAUGGUAUUAUGGCCGAGUUCCAGUGUCCUCCCUGGUACAUGUGGAUCCACACGUCCCUUUGAGCACAUGUGAAAGCAGGCGGGCACUUGAGCGCUAAUGAUGGGUGAAGUGAUUGAUAACAGCCCAGUUGAAGACAGAAGGGGCAUCAGGUUUUGUUUCCAGCCAACCUUUCAUCUUUUUUGCCAAAGCAAAUGUUCUGUGGAUCCUGUCCAACGACAUAAAAUACAGUGCUCGUGGGAGUAUGCAGAGGCUUUGUGAGGAAAUACAAUUAAGUUAUGUCCAAGAGCCCAGCAGCCUGAGAUGGCUCGAAGGCCGUGGCCAACUCUCUGCACAAACCCGAACCCCAGCCCUGUGAUCCCUCAAGGUAACUGGACGGAGACCCCCCAAGGACAAACAAUCACAGGGUCCCAAGCUGCUCUUGGAGAUAAGAAAAGAUGAGCAUUUCAGGUCAGUCAGAAGUAAAGAAAACUACAAAACUUGCAGAAAUAAAAAGACAUGGAAAACUUCUCAACCGCUAUUAAUGUGCUGGUUGGAUUCUCUUCAGUUUCUUUGGCUUUUCUGACUUAUAAUUACACACAACCAUGUCUGAAGGGGCCAGCCUGAGCCAGGCUUGAGACUGAAGACACGGUUCGGGGAAGAGGCGGCCGUGGGGAACAUCCUGAGGUGGCCGUCCAGACCUGGCGGCUUCUGUGUUGGAUGCUUGUGGAUCACCCUGAGAGCACGGGGGCCCCUCUGGUGCCAGCCGAUGGAACGUGCUUGAGAAGCGGCACGGCGGGCAGGCCCUGCGGUGGGUGUUGGCCAGGCCGCCGAUGCCCAGCUGGACACCAAGGCUCUGAACAGAAGGUCUGGAGAAGAGCUGAGAAGGGGACGCUUCUAACAUAAAGACCCUGGACCUCUGACGGUAGAGUGACAGCCCCAACGGCUGCGAGGGAACUUGGCGGUCUGGAAGCUGUAUGUCUCGCGUUUGAAGUGUAAGCAGCCAGGAGCAAAUUAAAGCCUCGCCCAGGGUGGCCAGAGGCCUGAAGGGCAGAGAGGCUUCGGAGAACACAGACGGUGGCAGCAGCUCGGCCUCCCGAUGCUCGGGGAGGCCAAGCAAGGACCCGAGGCGCCCUCCGCAGAAGACCGCAAGCGCUCCCUUGCACCAGGUGCGCCGUUUGGAGCCGACUGUCCUAAAGGGAUGAGUCGCUUGUGUCGUCGCAACUGAUUCGUGGCUGAAAGUUUGUGACGAAAGCUCUGAGGUCCGUGUGCUCGUGAACACCUGUGGAGACGCCACACAUCCGAUCUUCUGCCUCCGGGUGCCAAAACCAGGCUUUGCUGGAACUUCUGUGAGAGAGAGGAUAGGUGGUGAACGUGGAAAAUCGAAGUUUGUAGAGUGCCAUAUAUGGGUGCCUUCACUGAAUUGGGGGCUUCACAUUUCAAAGAUCAUCAUGUACAAGGUUGGGCAAAAACCAGGACAUUUGAAUGAAAGUACUGUCUCCCCUACAACCCGCAAGCAGGGUUAAUGGAAAGGAAAAACGGAACACUACAGAUUGAAUUACCAAUACACAAAACCACUUUUACUGAGUGGAUUAGCAAAGCACCUCAGGCCUUAGUGCAUUUGCACAACCAGCAUCAGGGCUGUUGCCCCACAGGCCAGACUGGGCCCCCUUCUGGGCAUCCGAUACCAUAAACUUCGGGAAGUCCUAAGAAACCAUGGCUAUGCUGCUGGGAGCGGUGAGCCGCCUCACACCUGGGAAGGAUCUCCUCUACUGGAAUUUGUACUGGCAAGUCUUCCUGGGAGGGGAUCGUUUGGCCACCAUAUUCCCCCGCUGGCCUGGAGGACAUUAGAGCACUCGUGGAAGCCUUUACGAAAUCCACCAGCAAACCCGGAAUGAGAGUCCACACAGCCUGUCACUUCCGAGCACUGAAAUGUCUAUAAGAGAAGAGCUGUUCUCCAAAAUAGGUCGGGUUUGGACAUUAUCACUGCCUCCCCAAGAGGCACCUGUGCUAUUCAAAUAGGAUGUGGUGUGUGCGUACCUGAUGGGUGUAAUGUAUCUUCCUUCCUUCCUCACCUGAGGACACAGAAGAAUCCCCCGAGUCCUCUGAUCCCCAGCUCAAGGGACUUAAUAAACCCCUGAUUUGGGUCAUGGGGACUCUUGGUGGGAAGGGAAGUAUUUGGGGAAUCACGAUCUCGAUCUGUAUUUUCUCUCACACAUUGUGUUGUUGCUGUGCCUCUGCUGCGGCCACAGAGCCACCAGAUGAGCAUCUCCCAGCUAGUAAGAGCUUCUGACAGCUCAGGGCCAUCCUUGUAGAUGAGGAGGGGCGGGCAUCUGAGAUUGCAGGAGCUGGUCACGAGGGGUGGACUGUUGGAGGUCGUCGUUGACAGGACACGACUGCCCACUAUUCCCAUGGCCGGUGCUGUUCCAAGGAUGCAAUUUUGAGAGAGCAACGUGCUGUUGAGGUCACGCAGUUGGUAUAGGGGACAAGACCCCAUCAAGGCCUCUGUAAUCGUCUGUUAUGUGGAGACUGUGAUGUCUCCCUCUUGCUGCCCAGGACACCAUCGUAUGCAAGUUCCCUGGCUUACUAAACCUGCCACCUACCUCUGAGUGGGCCUGCCUCUUACAUCUCUCCCAGCCUCCUCCUGUGGGGCCCGGUUUGCAAACCAGCAUCAGACCUUGUGCUUCAGCCCAGGGCCCAUCUGUGUGUCUAGUACAGCAGCUCAGGGUCCACACC